rnacentral:rRNA from 1 species
CCCUUAGAUGUUCUGGGCCGCACGCGUGCUACACUGAGUGGAUCAGCGGGUCAGGUUGCGCGAAAGCGUUUCCUAAUCUUGAAAUCCGCUCGUGAUGGGGAUUGACGGUUGCAAUUUUCUGUCAUGAACGAGGAAUACCUUGUAAGCGCGAGUCAUCAUCCCGCGCUGAAUACGUCCCUGCCCUUUGUACACACCGCCCGUCGCUCCUACCGAUUGAGUGGUCCGGUGAGGCUUUGGGAUCUGGACGGAAAGAGCGUUUCGCUUGUUCUGUUUGGGAAACUUGGUCGAACCUUAUCAUUUAGAGGAAGGAGAAGUCGUAACA